GGAUCAAUAUAUCGGUCGUGCCUUUGGUACGUACUGGUAUCAUUGAUUUCUCCAUUCUGACGAAUCAUGAUGUCAUUAAUUUGGUGUUAUGAGGAGUUAGGACUGUUACUUUGAAAAAAUUAGAGUGUUUAAAGCAGGCAUUAGCUUGAAUACAUUAGCAUGGAAUAAUGAAAUAGGACGUUUGACCCUAUUUUGUUGGUUUCUAGGAUCGACGUA
rnacentral:rRNA from 1 species